CUUGACCCCACUUUUCCUGAUGAAUGACCUUUAGAGGUGGCUCCAGCCCCAGGGCCUGACACGUGGCCUGGCUCAGAGUGAACUCUUGAGAAACGUUAGUACACUGAAAAACAAUGAAAAAAAAAAAAGAAUGAAGAAAGAAGAGUCAAGGCAGAUCAACCAGGAUCGACGCAUCUGUGUCCCUCAAGUUAAUGACAUUUGAUAAACAACUUCUUUGUCUGUUCCUUCCCUUUGUCUGUAGCCCAGGAGACACAGUGACAGAAGGACAAUGCCUGGGCCUGAGCUGGGGGCUGCAUUCCAUUGCUGCCUCUUCCUGGCACAACCUAUAAUUGUUC
rnacentral:lncRNA from 10 species